rnacentral:rRNA from 1 species
AGAGUUUGAUCMUGGCUCAGGWYGAACGCUAGCUACAGGCUUAACACAUGCAAGUCGAGGGGCAGCAUGAAAGUAGCUUGCUACUUUUGAUGGCGACCGGCGCACGGGUGCGUAACACGUAUCCAAUCUACCCAUGGCUCAGGGAUAGCCUUUCGAAAGAAAGAUUAAUACCUGAUGGCUUCAUGAGUCCGCAUGGACUUAUGAAUAAAGAUUUAUCGGCGAUGGAUGAGGAUGCGUCCGAUUAGAUAGUAGGCGGGGUAACGGCCCACCUAGUCGACGAUCGGUAGGGGCUCUGAGAGGAGGAUCCCCCACAUUGGAACUGAGACACGGUCCAAACUCCUACGGGAGGCAGCAGUGAGGAAUAUUGGUCAAUGGGCGAGAGCCUGAACCAGCCAAGUAGCGUGAGGGAUGACUGCCCUAUGGGUUGUAAACCUCUUUUGUUUGGGAAUAAAGUGAGCCACGUGUGGCUUUUUGUAUGUACCUUACGAAUAAGCAUCGGCUAAUUCCGUGCCAGCAGCCGCGGUAAUACGGAAGAUGCGAGCGUUAUCCGGAUUUAUUGGGUUUWRRGSGAGCGUAGGCGGGUCUUUAAGCCAGCGGUCAAAUGUCAGGGCCCAACCUUGGCAUGCCGUUGGAACUGGGGACCUUGAAUACACACAAGGAAGGUGGAAUUCGUCGUGUAGCGGUGAAAUGCUUAGAUAUGACGAAGAACUCCGAUUGCGAAGGCAGCCUUCUGGGGUGCGAUUGACGCUGAGGCUCGAAAGUGCGGGUAUCGAACAGGAUUAGAUACCCUGGUAGUCCGCACAGUAAACGAUGAAUGCUCGUCAUUGGCGACAGACAGUCAGUGACCAAGGGAAACCAUUAAGCAUUCCACCUGGGGAGUACGCCGGCAACGGUGAAACUCAAAGGAAUUGACGGGGGCCCGCACAAGCGGAGGAACAUGUGGUUUAAUUCGAUGAUACGCGAGGAACUUUACCCGGGCUUGAAUUGCAGAGGAAGGAUGCAGAGAUGCUGACGCCCUUCGGGGCCUCUGUGAAGGUGCUGCAUGGUUGUCGUCAGCUCGUGCCGUGAGGUGUCGGCUUAAGUGCCAUAACGAGCGCAACCCUUGCUGUCAGUUGCCAUCAGGUAAUGCUGGGCACUCUGACGGGACUGCCAUCGCAAGAUGUGAGGAAGGUGGGGAUGACGUCAAAUCAGCACGGCCCUUACGUCCGGGGCUACACACGUGUUACAAUGGGGGGUACAGAAUGUUGCUUGCGGGCGACCGCCGGCGGAUCAUUAAAUCCCCUCUCAGUUCGGACUGGAGUCUGCAACCCGACUCCACGAAGCUGGAUUCGCUAGUAAUCGCGCAUCAGCCAUGGCGCGGUGAAUACGUUCCCGGGCCUUGUACACACCGCCCGUCAAGCCAUGAAAGCCGGGGGCGCCUGAAGUCCGUUACCGCAAGGAUCGGCCUAGGGCGAAACUGGUAAUUGGGGCUAAGUCGUAACAAGGUAACCAAGCCGAAUUCCAGCACACUGGCGGCCGUUACUAGUGGAUCCGAAGCCUCGGUUACC